rnacentral:rRNA from 1 species
UUACAGAGUUCAUGCCCGAAAGGGUAGACCUCCCACCCUUGUGUAUUAUUACUUUGUUGCUUUGGCGAGCUGCCUUCGGGCCUUGUAUGCUCGCCAGAGAAUACCAAAACUCUUUUUAUUAAUGUCGUCUGAGUACUAUAUAAUAGUUAAAACUUUCAACAACGGAUCUCUUGGUUCUGGCAUCGAUGAAGAACGCAGCGAAAUGCGAUAAGUAAUGUGAAUUGCAGAAUUCAGUGAAUCAUCGAAUCUUUGAACGCACAUUGCGCCCCUUGGUAUUCCGGGGGGCAUGCCUGUUCGAGCGUCAUUUCAACCCUCAAGCUUAGCUUGGUAUUGAGUCUAUGUCAGUAAUGGCAGGCUCUAAAAUCAGUGGCGGCGCCGCUGGGUCCUGAACGUAGUAAUAUCUCUCGUUACAGGUUCUCGGUGUGCUUCUGCCAAAACCCAAAUUUUUCUAUGGUUGACCUCGGAUCAGGUAGGGAUACCCGCUGAACUUAAGCAUAUCAAUAAGCGGAGGAAAAGAAACCAACAGGGAUUACCUCAGUAACGGCGAGUGAAGCGGUAAAAGCUCAAAUUUGAAAUCUGGCUCUUUUAGAGUCCGAAUUGUAAUUUGUAGAAGAUGCUUCGGGUGUGGUUCCGGUCUAAGUUCCUUGGAACAGGACGUCAUAGAGGGUGAGAAUCCCGUAUGUGACUGGAUACCUAUGCUCAUGUGAAGCUCUUUCGACGAGUCGAGUUGUUUGGGAAUGCAGCUCAAAAUGGGAGGUAUAUUUCUUCUAAAGCUAAAUAUUGGCCAGAGACCGAUA